UGCAGAUGCUGUUAGUUUCACUUUGUCUA
rnacentral:piRNA from 1 species